rnacentral:lncRNA from 1 species
AUUAUCACAAUCUUAAAUUAUUUUUUUUACCGGCUAGAACACCCCUAAUUAUUGUGUAUAUGGUUAAAUGAUGUAUUGAACCAUGGAUUAAGGGAUUAAACACCUAAGUCAUUUAUUCAGCUUAUGCAUAUGAAUCUACCUGUUCUUGUACGAUGCUAAACUUAAUUGUUGUGCAUAAAUAGUGCCAUGCUUCAUAUGGAUAAGUAGAAAAUUUAACUUAAGCACAUUAUUCACUCACAAUCCAUAAAUUAAUACAUGCUCUCAAAUGCAUUCAUUCUAGCCAACAAGACUAUCAAACUUACACAAUGAUGCAUAAAAAAGAAUUCUUUUCACACAAAAAACAUGAAAUGAAAUCAUAUCACACAACACAAAAUACUAAACUACUGAUAACAACAAUUAACAAUUGAUGAUUCACCCCCAAAUUUAAAAUAUACAAUGUCCCCAACAUAAAAAUAAAUACAAAUGAGG